rnacentral:ncRNA from 1 species
CCCACUGAAUUUAAGCAUAUCAAUAAGCGGAGGAAAAGAAACUUACCAGGAUUCCCCUAGUAACAGCAAGCGAACUGGGAAUAGCCCAGCUUGAGAAUCGGGCGUCCUCGGCGUUCGAAUUGUAGUCUUGAGAAGCGUCCUCAGCGGCGGAUUGAGCCCAAGUGCCCUGGAAGGGGGCGCCAGAGAGGGUGAGAGCCCCGUCGUGCUCAUUUAUAUUUGCUAUCAUUGGUUUUUGAUAAAUUAUUAGAUUAACUAGUUCCUCUUGAGCUUAAAUAUGAUCUGGGCCUUUGGAGAAAAAGAAAUGUGAAC